GUGCUAUACAUGCAAGUCGAGCGGACAGAUGGGAGCUUGCUCCCUGAUGUUAGCGGCGGACGGGUGAGUAACACGUGGGUAACCUGCCUGUAAGACUGGGAUAACUCCGGGAAACCGGGGCUAAUACCGGAUGGUUGUCUGAACCGCAUGGUUCAGACAUAAAAGGUGGCUUCGGCUACCACUUACAGAUGGACCCGCGGCGCAUUAGCUAGUUGGUGAGGUAACGGCUCACCAAGGCGACGAUGCGUAGCCGACCUGAGAGGGUGAUCGGCCACACUGGGACUGAGACACGGCCCAGACUCCUACGGGAGGCAGCAGUAGGGAAUCUUCCGCAAUGGACGAAAGUCUGACGGAGCAACGCCGCGUGAGUGAUGAAGGUUUUCGGAUCGUAAAGCUCUGUUGUUAGGGAAGAACAAGUGCCGUUCAAAUAGGGCGGCACCUUGACGGUACCUAACCAGAAAGCCACGGCUAACUACGUGCCAGCAGCCGCGGUAAUACGUAGGUGGCAAGCGUUGUCCGGAAUUAUUGGGCGUAAAGGGCUCGCAGGCGGUUUCUUAAGUCUGAUGUGAAAGCCCCCGGCUCAACCGGGGAGGGUCAUUGGAAACUGGGGAACUUGAGUGCAGAAGAGGAGAGUGGAAUUCCACGUGUAGCGGUGAAAUGCGUAGAGAUGUGGAGGAACACCAGUGGCGAAGGCGACUCUCUGGUCUGUAACUGACGCUGAGGAGCGAAAGCGUGGGGAGCGAACAGGAUUAGAUACCCUGGUAGUCCACGCCGUAAACGAUGAGUGCUAAGUGUUAGGGGGUUUCCGCCCCUUAGUGCUGCAGCUAACGCAUUAAGCACUCCGCCUGGG
rnacentral:rRNA from 1 species